GACGAACGCUGGCGGCGUGCUUAACACAUGCAAGUCGAACGGGAUCCAAAGGCUUUUUGUUUUUGGUGAGAGUGGCGAACGGGUGAGUAACACGUGAGUAACCUGCCCCCUUCUUUUGGAUAACCGCAUGAAAGUGUGGCUAAUACAGGAUAUUCCAGGCUGGUCGCAUGAUUGGUUUGGGAAAUGGUUUGGUCUGGUGGGGGAUGGGCUCGCGGCCUAUCAGCUUGUUGGUGGGGUGAUGGCCUACCAAGGCGGUGACGGGUAGCCGGCCUGAGAGGGUGGGCGGUCACACUGGGACUGAGAUACGGCCCAGACUCCUACGGGAGGCAGCAGUGGGGGAUUUUGCACAAUGGGCGCAAGCCUGAUGCAGCGACGCCGCGUGAGGGAUGAAGGCCUUCGGGUUGUAAACCUCUUUCGCUGGGUUGAAAGGCCAUGCUUUGGGUGUGGUUGAUUUGAACUGGUAAAGAAGUACCGGCUAACUACGU
rnacentral:rRNA from 1 species